UAUAAUACUCAUGUUGGCCUUGGCGGUAAAAGCUCUAAAAAAAAAAAGUAGUCCCUGAUAUUUGUGGGUCAUUAUCCCUGUGUGGAAAGGCUACUGGGGAAACAAGAUUAGCCAUCCUGGAGACAUGCCAGGCCACUGUGGCUCAGGCCACUGUGGCUCUGUGCUGGUACGCCUCCUCUCCGCCCCCAACACACUGGCAUCAUCUGUACUCCUUCAUCCAAGAUGCUGCUGUUGCUCCUGACUGCACACCAGCUAGUCCAGUGGUUCUCAACUUUCCUAACGCUAUAAACUUGUAAUACAGUUCCACACGUUGUGGUGACCCCCCCUCCCAAACCAUAAAAUUAUUUUGUUGCUUCAUAACUGUGAUUUUGCUAUUGUUAGAAAUUGUAAUGUAAAUAUCUGACCCCCAAGAGAGUCACAACCCACAGGUUGAGAACCACUGAGCUAGGCAGAUACUGCCACGCAGGCAAUUUUUCCAGCUACCUUUGAUGGCAUCUCCAAGACUUACAGUUACUUGACCUCUGACCUCUAGAAAAAGACUGUGUUCACCAAGUCUCCCAAUGAAGAAGUCACUGACCAUCUUGUGAAAACCCACACAAAAGUCUCCAUUUAGAGGACUGGGGCUCCUGUGGUAGCUUCCACAUAG
rnacentral:lncRNA from 1 species